rnacentral:lncRNA from 10 species
GCUUCCUCCAGCUACUGAAAUUGCACAUAUGGUCAUCCAAUGUCAAUAACAUAUUCUCAAUAAGACACUGAAGCAUAUCACAAUUUAUUGAAGCUGGACCUCUUCUUUACACUGUUACAAAAACCAACUCAAGAUGGAUUAGAGACUUAAAUGUAAAACCCCAAGGUAUAAAAACCCUGGAAGACAACCUAAGCAACACCAUCCUGGACAUAUGAACAGGCAAAGAUUUCAUGACAAAGACACCAAAAGCAAUCGUAACAAAAGCAAAAAAUUGACUAGUGGCAUCUAAUUAAACUAAAGAGCUUCUACACAUCGAAAGAAACUAUCAAAAGAGUAAACAGACAACUUACAGCAUGGGAGAAUAUAUUUGCAAACUAUGCAUCAGACAAAGGUCUAAUAGCCAGCAUCUAUAAGCAACUUAAACAAAUUUACAAGAGAAAAACAACCCCAUUAAAAGGUGGGCAAAGGACAUGAACAGACACUUUUCAAAAGAAGACAUACAUGCAACCAACAAGCAUAUGAAAAAAAGCUCAACAUCACUCAUCCUUAAAGAAAUGCAAAUCAAAACUGCCUGGAGAUACCAUCUCACACCAGUCAGAAUGGCUAUUAUGAAAAAGUAAAAAAUUAAUGGAUGCUGGUGAGUUUGCAGAGAAAAGGGAACACCUAUACAUUGUUGGGAGUGUAAAUUAGUUCAACUAUUGUGGAAAACAGUGUGGCAAUUUCUCAAAGAGCUAAAAGCAGAACCAUCAUUCGACCCAGCAAUCCCAUAAAUCAUUCUACCAUAAAGAUACAUGUUCAUUGCACCACUAUUCACAAUAGCAAAGGCAAGGAAUCAACCUGAAUGCCCAUCAAUGACAGAUUAGAUAAAGAAAAUAUGGUACAUAUACACCAUGGAAUACAGUGCAGGCAUAAAAAAAACAAGAUCAUGUCUUUUGAGAGAAUAUGGAUGGAGCUAGAGGACAUUAUCCUUAACAAACAAAUGCAGGAAAGGAAAACCAAAUACCACAUGUUCUUACUUAUAAGUGGGAGCUAAAUGAUGAAAACUCAUGAACACAAAGAAGGAAACAACAUACACUGUGGUCUACCUGAGAGCAGAGGGUAGGAGGAAGGAGAGGAGCAGAAAAUACAACUAUUGGGUAAUGGGCUUAAUACCUGAGUGAUGAAAUAAUCUAUAUAACAAACCCCCAUGGCACAAGUUUACCUAUGUAACAAACCCGCACAUGUACCACUGAGC